AGACGAACCGGGCGAACGUUAUUCGGAAUCACUGGGCUUAAAGCGUGCGUAGGCGGCUUGACAAGUUGGGUGUGAAAGCCCUCGGCUCAACCGAGGAACUGCGCCCAAAACUGCCAGGCUUGAGGGAGAUAGAGGUGAGUGGAACUAAUGGUGGAGCGGUGAAAUGCUUUGAUAUCAUUAGGAACACCGGUGGCGAAAGCGGCUCACUGGGUCUCUUCUGACGCUGAGGCACGAAAGCUAGGGGAGCGAACGGGAUUAGAAACCCUAGUAGUCC
rnacentral:rRNA from 1 species